rnacentral:rRNA from 1 species
GACGAACGCUGGCGGCGUGCUUAACACAUGCAAGUCGAACGAAGUGGCGAACGGGUGAGUAACGUGUAAUCAACCUGCUCAUCAAGGGGGGACAACAGUUGGAAACGACUGCUAAUACCGCAUACUGAAUGAGGGGUUUGGGUCUGAUUAGCUCGGGGGAGGGGUAACGGCUCACCAAGGCGAUGAUCAGUAGCCGGUCUGAGAGGAUGAACGGCCACAUUGGGACUGAGACACGGCCCAGACUCCUACGGGAGGCAGCAGUGGGGAAUAUUGCACAAUGGGCGCAAGCCUGAUGCAGCCAUGCCGCGUGUAUGAAGAAGGCCUUCGGGUUGUAAAGUACUUUCAGCGGGGAGCGGUACUCGCAGAAGAAGCACCGGCUAACUCCGUGCCAGCCGCCGCGGUAAUAC